UCUAAAAAACAAAAUAUAGGACUUAAACUCCCAUCCAGAAGUAUUACUGUCUUCUUUUAGAA
rnacentral:tRNA from 1 species